rnacentral:sRNA from 1 species
AAGUAAGGUAGGCAUGCUAAAACCACGACGUCCUGUCGUAACGCAAGCAUGAUCCACGAUCCACAUCGUGUGGA